rnacentral:rRNA from 1 species
AGUAACGCGUGAGUAACCUGCCUCUCAGAGGGGGAUAACGUUCUGAAAAGGACGCUAAUACCGCAUGACAUCCCCGGGGGCCGCAUGGUCCUGGGAUCAAAGGAGCAAUCCGCUGAGAGAUGGACUCGCGUCCGAUUAGCUAGUUGGUGAGAUAAAGGCCCACCAAGGCGACGAUCGGUAGCCGGACUGAGAGGUUGAACGGCCACAUUGGGACUGAGACACGGCCCAGACUCCUACGGGAGGCAGCAUG